rnacentral:SRP_RNA from 1 species
GUGCUGUGAUGGCGUUUGGCAGAAUCGCACUGCUUGUGUACUUCGCAAUUUGGACUACAUUGAAAGUGUCCGGUUCGAUCCCCGCGGUCGAGGAUGUGGUUAUUCGAGUAAUCAAUAUUCCUAUCCUCAGCAAUGAGUAGCACUAUCACUGGAGGGAAGAUAAUUCAGCACAGUAGGCUACCCGUGGCGGAGGCGAAGCGGAUGGCACAUUCUUUGGCAUUGGUUCAGGUUGUUAAGUAUCUGGUGUGGAGACUCCAAUUUGAUUU